rnacentral:rRNA from 1 species
GACGAACGCUGGCGGCGUGCCUAAUACAUGCAAGUCGAACGAAGCUGUUUUAACUGGUGCUUGCACCGACUUAAACAACUGAGUGGCGAACGGGUGAGUAACACGUGGGUAACCUGCCCCAAAGCGGGGGAUAACAUUUGGAAACAGAUGCUAAUACCGCAUAAUCACAGAAACCACAUGGUUUCUGUGUCAAAGAUGGUUUCGGCUAUCACUUUGGGAUGGACCCGCGGCGUAUUAGCUAGUUGGGAAGGUAAUGGUUUACCAAGGCAAUGGUACGUAGCCGAACUGAGAGGUUGAUCGGCCACAUUGGGACUGAGCCACGACCCAAACUCCUACGGGAGGCAGCAGUAGGGAAUCUUCCACAAUGGACGAAAUUCUGAUGGAGCAACGCCGCGUGAGUGAAGAAGGUUUUCGGAUCGUAAAACUCUGUUGUCAGAGAAGAACGUGUGCGAGAGUAACUGUUCGUGCAGUGACGGUAUCUGGCCAGAAAGCCACGGCUAACUACGUGCCAGCAGCCGCCGUAA